GAUUCCUAAUGCUAGACCCCUACUCAGGCAUCCCAGAUCUUAGAAGAAAAAGAGGAUUCUCACUGAUUAAGCACUUGCUAUGUGCCAGGUACUGUGAGGGCAGUUUACAUCUGUUUCUUUAUGUAAUCUUCAUAGCAACACAGUGAGAUAGGUAUUAUCAUCUGCUUUGAUAGAUAAGGAAACAAAACUGCAGAGAGAGAUCAAAUAGCUUGCCCAAAGUCACACAGGAGAACCAGGGUUGAUCUCAGAUACAUGUUUGAAUCUUAUGCCUCCAGCACUCUACCCCUUAGAAACUGGGGGUGUCUGACCAGACCUCCUAGCCUGGCUCACACUGCCUCUAGGGUCUAAAAAAGUACUGUCUUUCAAAUAACUGUAGAAUUCCACUGUCCUUAUAUAACUUUAUUACAUAAAGAAUAACCAUAGGUCUUGAGGCUAAAUUAAUGCUAAACCAGAAUCACAUGUGGCCCAAUGUUGAACACUUAACUUAAGGUGACAGCAGUGUCCAGUGGGGUCUUCCAGGAAUCUGCAGACCCAAGGGGCCUACUCUGAGGCUUGGAAAUGCCCAGAGCUAGCUGCCCUGGCUUUCCUGUUACACUGCUUAGCAAUCAGGGAGGUCCCAGGACAGGGGUUAACACCCCCUUCAGGAAUGAGGGUAGCUAGGGUCCUCAGGGGAGCUUCCAGGGAGCUGCUCAGUGGCUAGGAAGGUGCUAAGGGGUGCAGCCCAGCUGGAGGCCAGGCCUCAGAUGACAGUUAACCAGAGGGCCAGCCUGCCAGGGCUGUGAUUAGGGCUGGUCCCUCCCAGGAGCCCUGCUAAUGAUCCUUUGUAGCAGAGCUUGCAUAAUUCCAUACUUCCUAAUUUCUGAAAAGAAUGAAUCGCUCUCCCUUCUGUUUGCCUAGAAGAAGAGCUUAUUUUGAUAAAAACCUCCAGGGAAAGUCAUAGAAAAUCACUUAAGAAAAACAGAGACUUUUAAAAGAACGUUCUGAGCCUGUCAAGCGGAGUAAUUUGCAGUCGACAAGGGGCACGCUGAGGUUGGGAGAAGCCUUCCAGAGGAGUGUGCAAAUAGGCCACAGAUCAUUCUGAAAAGGAAGCCCACUCAUCCCAGGACACUGGAUUUCAAAUAGAACAGGGAGCCCUGGAGGCAGAGAAAGGUGGCUGGGGACAAGAGUAAAUGACUGCUUCUCUCUCUCUGCUUCGGACUCGGCCCUCAGACACACCUCAGAGUCUCCCGAGAUGUCUCUUAAGUCACCGAUGUCACCAUGGCCGGCGGGACCCUGUCGCUGGACGCUCCGCCAGGAGGCCCCAUCCACUGGAGUCACCGAACUGACAGACUGUUUGCUUUAAGGGACAAAGGCACGGAGUUGAGACUAGGAAGAGGGGGCUGCAGGGGAUUCCAUUCUAGCCGCAGUAGGACCCCCCAAAUGGCCAGACCCAGAGAAAAAGGGGCCCCCAAGGUACCUAGCCCUCCAGUCGAGCCGAAAGGUGGGCAGUGUACCCAGUGCAAGCUGCUGGCUCUGACAGCCGCAAGCAGAUUCCCUGUACAAAAAGGGAAAGGAGGGAAAAGGCUAUGAAUGCUGGCCUGGCUCCCAGAAGCGAGGCUGCCCAGAAAAAUGGAAACAGCUGCUCACCCACACGACCAGUGGGCUUGGCAAGCGCAGGUCAGAGCAGGCUCCAGAGCAGGAGGCGGAGCCCCGGGUUCGGGUCCCUGGGGCUUGUCCCUUAGUUGCCAUAACCACGCCCGCCCCACCCCUUCAAGGCUCGGCUCACACGUGGUGGGAGUAGCAGGAGCUCUGGGCUGGGAGUUUUCAGUCCGGCAGAGUGCCUAACUAGCUUCAUCACGGGAGCAGUGACUCACGUCCCCUGGGCCCAGGAGGGCCCUCUAACCAGAUGAGGUUUACUGUGAGGAUGCCCACAGACCUUCCAGCCCUGACAGCUGGCCCAUCGGGCCUCCUGCUCUCACAGCCGACUCCCCGCGGGACCUGGGGAGCCAGCGCAGUAACAGCUCCCCGCUGCCGGGAUGGUGGGGACCUGUUCUGCGCACUGUGUAGGAUGCCCCGCCCCCGUGCAUAGGGUGCCCCACCCGCCGUGUAUAGGAUGCCAAGUGCCCCCCCACCGUGUGUAGGCGGUCCCGCCCCCCUUGAGACAGGGCCUGGCCUCCUGUACAUCGCACGUCCCCAGCAGUUCUGGGACCAAUGGAGACUUGUUACAAGUACACUAUUUCCUGUGAUCCUCACCAUAAAUUGGGGGGCAGAAGGAAAGGAGUUCUUGACUCCAUUUUACAAAGGCAUUGAGUCCCAGAGAGGGUAAACAACUUGCCCAAAGUUCCACAGCUUAUUACUGGAAGGCCUGGAAUGCAGCUCCCGUGGAGACCUGGCUUCCUGAGGGAAGGAAGGAGAGACUCUCUUUGUUCUGCCUCAUGUAUUGAGCUUCGGAGGGAUCUGUUCUGUUCACUGGUGUAUUCUUGGUGCCUAGAGGACUUCCUGGUGCAUAAUGAAAGCUUGAUUUGUUAAAUGAAAGAAAGACAGAAAAAAAAGAGAGGGGCUGGGAGAGAAAGAAGCAAACUCACCUGAGGCCUACAGUUGACAAGGACUGUCCAGGGAGAGCCGCCACAGAUCAAGCCUACCCUGCCUGCAGUUUUGUCUUUUAUUUAAUUUGAAUUUUUUAAAAAUCAUGAUUAUUAGACAGAAAAACUAAUAAUGUACUUAGAAAUGUUUGUCUGUGGAUUAAGAAUGAGACGAUCUGUUGUUUGUUUACAUUGUUGAGAUCCAGUUAGUAAAAAUACUUGUGUUAAAUA